rnacentral:pre_miRNA from 1 species
UUUAAGAGCACUUAUAUGUUUUCAUGGUCAAUGUUUGUCUAUCUGUUUUAUUUGAAAUUAUUUUAUUAAUAUUUUUUAUUGUUAUUAGAUGGUAAAACAUGAAAAGUAUUUUAUGUAUGAGUGUAUGACUUAUCAUUUUAAAUUUUUUCAUAAAUUUUUCAAAUAAGAUGGAUGAUCAAAUGUUGCACUUCAAAUGGGACAG